CGCUGGCGGCGGGCGGAAGCCUCGCCAACCCGGUCAGGUCCGAGAGGAAGCAGCCGUAACGAAUUGUUUCCGGGUCGCCGCCAGUCUUU
rnacentral:SRP_RNA from 1 species